rnacentral:rRNA from 1 species
AUGUCGCACAACGCGUUGGAGUUGGUGUGUUGGAACGUUAGAGGUCUAAAUAGUCCGGCAAAGAAGAAAGCUUUGAGAGAGUUUGCGGACUCGGCGCGUGUUCCGAUUUUUUGUAUCUUGGAGACCAAGCUCGAAAGAGUUGACCAGUUUGUGAUUAUGCAAUGCCUCGGACCUGCUUACGAUGGCUUUUUCUAUCUCCUUGCUGAUGAUACUAGAGGGGGGAUUUUGGUGGCUUGGGAGUCUUCGAAGGUGCUUGUGUCUAACCUAGUGAAUGGCACUAAUUUCAUCACUGGUUUUGUCUCGCCUCGGGAUGGUUCUUCUUGGUGGCUCUCGGUGGUUUUUAUGGGCCACAAGAGGAUGCCCAAAAGUUGA